AGGGACUUUUAGGGGCAGCUGUGUUUUAUUAACCCAGUCAUAAUGCCCCUAAAAAUCCUUAU
ensembl:miRNA dre-mir-365-2 microRNA 365b